UUGCUCUCUUCCUCUUCUCUUUCACUCUCACCUUAAAAGAACUAGGCACCACACCCAGCUAGCAGCCACCAGCAACCACAACCAGCCAAUAGCCGCCAGCCGCACUGUAACAUUUGAAAAAUUAAUAAUUUAAAAUGAGUGUAUUUAAGAGAAUUAUUAGUACGAAAAUGACCUUAAAUAUACAUAAUAUAAUUAUAUUUUCAAUUUAAUUUCUUCUUCUCUAAUUCUCUCUUUCCUUUUUCUUUUAUUUUCCCCCCCUCUCUCACUUCGAUUGAACCCUAAACUACCAUGAAUGAAAACAAAAUAUCAAGUUCUUUACAUCCCACCAAAACCAUUCUCGAAUUCUCCGAUUGUCUCUGAAAUCUGCACAACCGAACAAGGAAACCAAAACCAAUUUUGUUAUGCCGAUUUUUGCACCGAAACCAAAACAGUCAAUCUUCUUGUUGCCCCUGAAUUUCUGCCGAAAAUGAGGGAAGCCAAAUGUUUUAUUGUGCAACAAAAUCCUAAUUUGGUUGCUUCAGAUUCCUACCGUAAGCUAAGGAGACGAUAUCAUCGAGGAACCUUUCUAGCUAUCCCAAAGAACCAGACUUAGCUCCUUGAAGCCCCUUUUGAUUGUCUACAUAUUGGAACUGGUCGGGAACGAUGGGUUAGCAGUGAUGAUCAGAGUUACAUGGAUGUUAAAUUGUGAUGAGGAUGGAUGAGAAUCGUAUGCCUCGUCCCGAGAGACAUGAGGAUAGGGUUGAGUCCGAGAACUCCCAUGACUCCGAGCAUACGAACACGGCAAGCGAGGUUUCUCAUGCACGAUCUGACCCUACCGAGACCUCUACACCUGUCGUCCCGGCUGCCAUUAUAGUGGAACAAUUUGAGACGAUGCUGAAAAUGUUCUACACGUAGCAGCAACAAAACCCGCUCCUACAACAGCAGGUGCUUCAGUCACUUAACACCGGUUCUUCAAAGGGUGGUUCUGGGCACGACAUAGGACGUCGCAAGCAGAGGGUAUUCAGAGGUUAGCCCCUAGGAAAUAUGAUGGUAAGGGUCCUCCCACUUGGCUAAAUGAUUGGGUCCGGGAGAUGGAGAAAGUAUUUGCGAUACUGAAGACACCCGAGGAUAUAAAGGUAGAUCUAGCAGUGCAUAAUCUGACCGGUGACGCCGAUCUUUGGUGGGUCACCCAUAGAGACGCUCUUCUAUCAACUUCUUUCGCUAUUACUAUGAAGCAUCCUUCCACCGUUCCUCCUCUUCCUUGGAGCUUGUUUGUGUCAGCGCUUCGCGACGAGUUCGUUCCUCUACACCUCUAGAGAAAGAUGUUUGACGAGUAUUCUCGACUUACGCAGGGAACCCAAACCGUUCACCAGUACUACGUUCGAUUUAUGGAGUUCACCAGAGCUCAGAGAUUUUUAUCAGGGUUGAUUCUGGAUAUCCAGGAACGUAUGAGGAACUUGGGACACGAGCAUGUCAGAGACGUACAUCAUGAUGCUUGUGAGGCUGAACGCCUAUGGGAUAACGGAAGACCACUCAAGGGCUGAAGCGACGUAGAGAGGACACCCACGAGAUAUCACAGAGUAUUGGGGGUCGAAGAUAUUCAGCACCUACACAGUCACAUCGAGAGCCUAGAUCCAGUUUUGGGAGACCAACGUUGAGCACUCCUCAGAGUAAUAGCAACAUUGAGUGUUUUAUAUAUUUUAAAUCAUAAAUGAUAUACGAAAGCUAGCGCUCAAGUGAUAAUCGCGUUAUCCUCGAAAAUGGGUGUAUAACGACAUUGUCCGAUUAAUUUGAAGCUAGUUUCUGUGACAAGAGUGGACAAUUAAAUGAAAUAUUAGACUUAAAA